rnacentral:rRNA from 1 species
GACGAACGCUGGCGGCGUGCCUAAUACAUGCAAGUAGAACGCACAGUUUAUACCGUAGCUUGCUACACCAUAGACUGUGAGUUGCGAACGGGUGAGUAACGCGUAGGUAACCUGCCUGGUAGCGGGGGAUAACUAUUGGAAACGAUAGCUAAUACCGCAUAAUAUUAAUUAUUGCAUGAUAAUUAAUUGAAAGGUGCAAUUGCACCACUACCAGAUGGACCUGCGUUGUAUUAGCUAGUAGGUGAGGUAACGGCUCACCUAGGCGACGAUACAUAGCCGACCUGAGAGGGUGAUCGGCCACACUGGGACUGAGACACGGCCCAGACUCCUACGGGAGGCAGCAGUAGGGAAUCUUCGGCAAUGGACGAAAGUCUGACCGAGCAACGCCGCGUGAGUGAAGAAGGUGUUCGGAUCGUAAAGCUCUGUUGUAAGAGAAGAACGGGUGUGAGAGUGGAAAGUUCACACUGUGACGGUAUCAUACCAGAAAGAGACGGCUAACUACGU